AUCUUGCUGCCUCUCUUUCUGUCUUAAUUGCGUCGUGCUACCGGAAAGGGGGCAAUCAGAGGUAUGUUCCGAAAAAGAAAAGAAAAGAAAAGUCGAUCAUCUCGA
rnacentral:ribozyme from 11 species